CCUACGGGUGGCAGCAGUGGGGAAUAUUGCGCAAUGGGCGAAAGCCUGACGCAGCGACGCCGCGUGAGGGAUGAAGGUUUUCGGAUCGUAAACCUCUGUCAGAAGGGAAGAAGUUGCAUGGGGCCAAUCACCUGUGCAUUGACGGUACCUUCAAAGGAAGCACCGGCUAACUCCGUGCCAGCAGCCGCGGUAAUACGGAGGGUGCGAGCGUUAAUCGGAAUUACUGGGCGUAAAGCGCACGUAGGCUGUAUGUCAAGUCAAGGGUGAAAUCCCACGGCUCGACCGUGGGAACUGCCUUUGAAACUGGUAAACUGGAGUGUGUGAGAGGAUAGUGGAAUUCAAGGUGUAGGAGUGAAAUCCGUAGAGAUCGGGAGGAACAUCAGUGGCGAAGGCGACUAUCUGGCACAUAACUGACGCUGAGGAGCGAAAGCGUGGGUAGCAAACAGGAUUAGAUACCCGGGUAGUC
rnacentral:rRNA from 1 species